GGGCGAAUGGUCUAGGGGUAUGAUAUUCGCUUUGCAUAAUCCCCGAGUUGUGAUUGCGAAGGGUCCGGGGUUCAAAUCCCCGUUCGUCCA